CGUGAGGGAAAGGUGAAAAGCACCCCGGAAGGGGAGUGAAACAGUUCCUGAAACCGUGUGCCUACAAGUAGUUAGAGCCCGUUAAUGGGUGAUAGCGUGCCUUUUGUAGAAUGAACCGGCGAGUUACGAUUUGUUGCAAGGUUAAGCGGAAAAAGCGGAGCCGUAGCGAAAGCGAGUCUGAAUAGGGCGCAUAAGUAACAGGUCGUAGACCCGAAACCAGGUGAUCUACCCAUGUCCAGGAUGAAGGUAAGGUAAUACUUACUGGAGGUCCGAACCCACGCACGUUGAAAAGUGCGGGGAUGAGGUGUGGGUAGCGGAGAAAUUCCAAUCGAACUUGGAGAUAGCUGGUUCUCUCCGAAAUAGCUUUAGGGCUAGCCUCGAGGUAAAGAGUCAUGGAGGUAGAGCACUGUUUGGACUAGGGGCCCUUCUCGGGUUACCGAAUUCAGAUAAACUCCGAAUGCCAUGUACUUAUACUCGGGAGUCAGACUGCGAGUGAUAAGAUCCGUAGUCGAAAGGGAAACAGCCCAGACCACCAGUUAAGGUCCCCAAAUAUAUGUUAAGUGGAAAAGGAUGUGGGGUUGCUUAGACAACCAGGAUGUUGGCUUAGAAGCAGCCACCAUUGAAAGAGUGCGUAAUAGCUCACUGGUCGAGUGACCCCGCGCCGAAAAUGUACCGGGGCUAAACAUAUUACCGAAACUGUGGAUGAACCUCUUUAGAGGUUCGUGGUAGGAGAGCGUUCUAAGGGCGGUGAAGUCAGACCGGAAGGACUGGUGGAGCGCUUAGAAGUGAGAAUGCCGGUAUGAGUAGCGAAAGAAGGGUGAGAAUCCCUUCCACCGAAUAUCUAAGGUUUCCUGAGGAAGGCUCGUCCGCUCAGGGUUAGUCGGGACCUAAGCCGAGGCCGAUAGGCGUAGGCGAUGGACAACAGGUAGAGAUUCCUGUACCAGUGCUAAUUGUUUAACCGAUGGGGUGACACAGAAGGAUAGGGAAUCGCACGAAUGGAAAUGUGCGUCCAAGCAGUGAGUGUGAGAAGUAGGCAAAUCCGCUUCUCGCGAAGCAUGAGCUGUGAUGGGGAAGGAAAUUAAGUACGGAAGUUCCUGAUUUCACGCUGUCAAGAAAAGCCUCUAGGAAGAGUAGUACUGCCCGUACCGCAAACCGACACAGGUAGAUGAGGAGAGAAUCCUAAGGUGAGCGAGAGAACUCUCGUUAAGGAACUCGGCAAAAUGACCCCGUAACUUCGGGAGAAGGGGUGCUCUAUUAGGGUGCAAGCCCGAGAGAGCCGCAGUGAAUAGGCCCAGGCGACUGUUUAGCAAAAACACAGGUCUCUGCAAAACCGUAAGGUGACGUAUAGGGGCUGACGCCUGCCCGGUGCUGGAAGGUUAAGAGGAGUGCUUAGCUUCGGCGAAGGUACGAAUUGAAGCCCCAGUAAACGGCGGCCGUAACUAUAACGGUCCUAAGGUAGCGAAAUUCCUUGUCGGGUAAGUUCCGACCCGCACGAAAGGCGCAACGAUCUGGGCACUGUCUCAACGAGAGACUCGGUGAAAUUAUAGUACCUGUGAAGAUGCAGGUUACCCGCGACAGGACGGAAAGACCCCGUGGAGCUUUACUGCAACCUGAUAUGGAAUGUUUGUACCGCUUGUACAGGAUAGGUAGGAGCCGAAGAGACGUGUGCGCUAGCAUACGAGGAGGCAAUGGUGGGAUACUACCCUGGCUGUAUGACCAUUCUAACCCGCCACGCUUAGCGCGUGGGGAGACAGUGUCAGGUGGGCAGUUUGACUGGGGCGGUCGCCUCCUAAAGAGUAACGGAGGCGCCCAAAGGUUCCCUCAGAAUGGAUGGAAAUCAUUCGCAGAGUGUAAAGGCACAAGGGAGCUUGACUGCGAGACUGACAAGUCGAGCAGGGACGAAAGUCGGGCUUAGUGAUCCGGUGGUUCCGCAUGGAAGGGCCAUCGCUCAACGGAUAAAAGCUACCCCGGGGAUAACAGGCUUAUCUCCCCCAAGAGUCCACAUCGACGGGGAGGUUUGGCACCUCGAUGUCGGCUCGUCGCAUCCUGGGGCUGUAGUCGGUCCCAAGGGUUGGGCUGUUCGCCCAUUAAAGCGGCACGCGAGCUGGGUUCAGAACGUCGUGAGACAGUUCGGUCCCUAUCCGUCGCGGGCGCAGGAAAUUUGAGAGGAGCUGUCCUUAGUACGAGAGGACCGGGAUGGACACACCGCUGGUGUACCAGUUGUUCCGCCAGGAGCAUCGCUGGGUAGCUAUGUGUGGCAGGGAUAAACGCUGAAAGCAUCUAAGCGUGAAGCCCCCCUCAAGAUGAGAUUUCCCAUUUCUUCGGAAAGUAAGAUCCCUGAAAGAUGAUCAGGUAGAUAGGUUUGGAGUGGAAGUGUAGCGAUACAUGGAGCGGACAAAUACUAAUCGAUCG
rnacentral:rRNA from 1 species